rnacentral:rRNA from 1 species
AGAGUUUGAUCCUGGCUCAGAACGAACGCUGGCGGCAGGCCUAACACAUGCAAGUCGAGCGGACCCUUCGAGGCUAGCGGCGGACGGGUGAGUAACGCGUGGGAAUAUGCCCUUCUCUACGGAAUAGUCUCGGGAAACUGGGGGUAAUACCGUAUACGCCCUUUGGGGGAAAGAUUUAUCGGAGAAGGAUUAGCCCGCGUUGGAUUAGGUAGUUGGUGGGGUAAUGGCCUACCAAGCCGACGAUCCAUAGCUGGUUUGAGAGGAUGAUCAGCCACACUGGGACUGAGACACGGCCCAGACCCUACGGGAGGCAGCAGUGGGGAAUCUUAGACAAUGGGGGAAACCCUGAUCUAGCCAUGCCGCGUGAGCGAUGAAGGCCUUAGGGUUGUAAAGCUCUUUCACCGGGGAAGAUAAUGACGGUACCCGGAGAAGAGGCCCCGGCUAACUCCGUGCCAGCAGCCGCGGUAAUACGGAGGGGGCUAGCGUUGUUCGGAACUACUGGGCGUAA